AUUGAACGCUAGCGGGAUGCCUUACACAUGCAAGUCGAGCGAGUGGCGGACGGGUGAGUAAUGUAUCGGAAUCUGCCCGGUAGCGGGGGAUACCUACUGGAAACGGUGGCUAAUACCGCCUACUAUCGGAUGGCCCCAUAUGGGAUUAGCUAGUUGGUGGGGUAAAGGCUCACCAAGGCAACGAUCCGUAGCUGGUUUGAGAGGACGACCAGCCACACUGGGACUGAGACACGGCCCAGACUCCUACGGGAGGCAGCAGUGGGGAAUUUUGGACAAUGGGGGAAACCCUGAUCCAGCCAUCCCGCGUGUAUGAGAAGGCCUUCGGGUUGUAAAGUACUUUUGGCAGAGAGGCGGUAUCUGCAGAAUAAGCACCGGCUAACUACGUGCCAGCCGCCGCGGUAAUAC
rnacentral:rRNA from 1 species